UAGGAGGGGUUCUUUCCCUCAAAAAAAAAAAGGAGGGGUUCUGUGCCCCUGCGCCGACGGUAAGGGUGGAAACGCGACAUGUCCGAGACAGGAGCGGCGGCGGGGGCUUCAUCGACGGAGCGGAAGCCGCGGCGGCUGCGGGGGCAUAAGAAGGGCGCAGUCACCUGCUGCGUCGCGUCCUCCGCCCGCCCGGGGGUCGUCGUGUCCUCCGGCGAGGAUGGAUGUCUUUGCUGGUUUGAUUUGCGCACAAAAGAUGUGCUCUUGACCAUUGAGGCGACAAAUAAGGCUAUUUCUUCCGUCUGUUUUAAAGCAGGAAAUGAAGAUUUUGUAUAUGUAUCUGCUGGAAAUGAAAUUUUGUCCUUCGAUGUUCGCAUGGGGUCUCAAUCAAAGCCACUGGAGACGUAUAACUACAACAGAGAAGAAAUCAACCAGAUUGCUGUCAGCUCAAAAGGCUUUCUUGCUGCUGCAGAUGACAGUGGGGAUGUUAAGAUUGUCAAUACGAUGCAAAAAUGCUUGUACAAAAGAUUGAGGGAAGCCCACACAAGUAUUUGCAGCAGUGUGCAAUUCAUUCCUUGGAGACCUUGGACAGCCAUUACUGGUGGCCUCGACUCAAAGCUUGCUGUUUGGGAUUUCUCCAAAGGGCGGACACUAUUUUCUAUUGAUUAUGGAUCACCUGAAAUGCAAAAUCGCAGUUCUUCGGCUAGUGCAGGGCAAUGUCUCAACCCUGCUUUCAUUCACUCGGUAGCAGUUUCUGAAGAGGGUGGGUUGUACAAAGUUUGUGCUGUUGCAAGGGGGGAUGGUGCAGUUGACGUAGUUGAUCUAGAAUAUGAAUUGGCCCCUGCAAAAUCAAAAGGCCCUUCUCGGGCAGGAGGGUCGGCCAUGAGCUCAAAAGGAACUGAUCUGGGGAAUGGAAGCAGUAACCAAAGUCAACAGAAAAGAAUCCUUCUUGAUUACACAAUGGGUGGCCAUACUGCAGCUGUGUCCUGUCGUUUGGUGAGAAGGGAAAGUUCCUUGUUUCAGGUGGUAAUGAUGCAUCAGUGAAACUAUGGGAUUGGUCCAAAGGAUUUUCUUCUGAAACAAAUAGCAAUAGUGAAUUAGUGUUGGAUAUCGAUGUGAAGAAAAAGGUGAACUGGUUGUGUACUGCUCCAACUGAUUCAGAUAACCUGAUUGUGUGCGACACAUCCAAGGUGGUCAAAGUAUAUAAUUUCCCGUAGAUUGAGAAAUGUGUGGACUGUGGCAUCAUCUGGCGAACAAUUUCCUGAGGUGGCAGGGCACAAAAUACUCCCUGGCCGUCAGUACCAUGUUGGGGACUCCAGUCUCUUGAUAUGAAGCCAAACCAGUUGCAGCUAGACCGAUGAAAUGACAGCUCAAGACCAUUUUGGUUCUCCUUUUGGCGUGUCAUACAUGGGACUUAGAGGCUCUACUAAAAUUAUUAUUUUCUACCAAGACACGUUACAUUCUACUGAAAUUUUGUACUUUCAUAUGCGGCUAGAAUAGACAUGUAUAUCUACCUUCCUUCAGAUGUUGUACGGUGGUAGUAUGAAUGUAUGGUUUCGGAAUGGAAUGAUCAGGUUUGUGCUGGUAAUCGUGGUUUUCAUCAAA